rnacentral:tRNA from 3 species
GCGAGAGUGGCGGAAUUGGCAGACGCACUGGAUUUAGGUUCCAGCGCCGCAAGGCGUGGGGGUUCGAGUCCCCCCUUUCGCACCA